rnacentral:lncRNA from 1 species
GGGCGGGGAAGCGAGGGGGGGCGCCGCCCCACCCCCUUCUCCGGAAUCCCCACGCCGUGAAGUCAUAAUCCUGUGUCUGUGACACCCUGUCGGUUGCUAUGGAAACGACUCGCUGUUAAACACUGGCGUUCUCAAUGAGGGUUGCAGGGGUUCCGAGGCGGACCUGGGGAGCAGAAACCCCUGUUUAGGGUGAACCGUGGCGGGCGCCGAUGGCCUCUUGGAAGAGGACAGACUAGCAGCUGCGAGGGAGAUGGGACUGGGUUUCACCCCUGAAAGGGCCCCUGGAGACAGCGGGAGGGCUGCUGAACGCCGGAGCCUUACAACUGUUAAACUCAGGCAGAGCUCGGGAAAUGCUGCCCGGAUGGGUGACUGAUGGAGAGGGGCUACCACUCUUCCAGCUAAACUCCGCUCUGGUUGGGACCCAGCAAUUAUUUUCCAUAGCGAAGUGUUAAUAAAAUAUCUGUUACUCCCAACACAACCUCCUGGGGGAAGGGACCUGUCUGUCUGCUUCAACUUUGGAUCCUCAGUGCCCACAUCAGGAUACCUGGCCUGAGAGCAUCCGGUGACCCAGUUUUAGGUCUCAAGGUCACUGCCAAGAAAGAGAAGCUGCUAAAGUGACACCUCUGUGCACCCACAUGACUUAACACAAAAGUUAACAGGAGCUCUUCAAAAACAAGCCUCUCGAGUGUCUGUCUCCUGUUUUCCCUGAGGACAGCAUCAGUGGCAUCAGAUAGGGGUUGGGGCUGGGUGACCUGCUGGUCCUCAGCCAUCACUGUGGCCCAGAGGUCAUUUAAGCAGCUCUCUGCUUAGCAGACAGGCAGAGGGAAUAGAUGGAAGGUACAGGUAAACACUGCAUGUGGCCACCGCGAGGAUACCCCGGAGCCUGGGAAACAGACAGGGACGUCGUAAAACCAACACAUAAUGGACCAGUGCAGAGACAGGCAAAACCAGUCAGAAGAAAUAGGAUGGUGCCUAGCCCAGGGACACCUGACUUAAGAGAGGGUCCUGCCGGUAUUACCCUGGAGGAAGGAAUGCUGCACAGAGGCCGAGAGGAAUUUGAACAGACUGGCCUUGCUGGGUUUUUAUCUCUUUUUGUCCAAUCCCAUUUUGACACAGUUGUCCAUGCUCCAAUCAUGCUUAUCCAAUGAAGUUUCCAUAACAGGCCUGAGAGGACAGGGUUCAGGAGCUUCCGGACAGCUGAGCAGGUGGAGGUUCCUGGAGGGUGGUGUGCCAGGGAGGGUGUGGAAGCUCUGCCCCUUCCCCCAUACCUUGUCCUAUGCAUUCCUUUAUCUGCAUCCUUCAUUUUAUUUUAUUUUUUUUUGAGACGGAGUCUUGCUCUUGUCGUCCAGGCUGGAAUGCAGUGGUGCGCGA